UACGGAGGGUGCAAGCGUUAACCGGAAUUACUGGGCGUAAAGCGCGCGCAGGCGGUUUGUUAAGUCCGUUGUGAAAGCCCCGAGCUCAACUUGGGAAUUGCAGUGGAUACUGGCAGGCUGGAGUUCGGUAGAGGAAGGUGGAAUUCCCGGUGUAGCAGUGAAAUGCGCAGAUAUCGGGAGGAACACCGGUGGCGAAGGCGGUUCUCUGGGCCUAUACUGACGCUGAGGAGCGAAAGCGUGGGGAGCGAACAGG
rnacentral:rRNA from 1 species